GGCGAACGCUGGCGGCGUGCUUAACACAUGCAAGUCGAACGGAAAGGCCUGCUUUCCCUUGUGGAUUGCGGGUACUCGAGUGGCGAACGGGUGAGUAACACGUGAGUGAUCUGCCCCCAACUUGGGUAUAAGCCUGGGAAACUGGGUCUAAUUCCCGAUAGGACUGCAGGGUGGUGCCUGUGGUGGAAAACGAUUUUCUAGUGGUUGGGGAUGAGCUCGCGGCCUAUCAGCUUGUUGGUGGGGUAAUGGCCUACCAAGGCGGCGACGGGUAGCCGGCCUGGGAGGGUGGACGGCCACAUUGGGACUGAGAUACGGCCCAGACUCCUACGGGAGGCAGCAGUGGGGAAUAUUACACAAUGGGCGGAAGCCUGAUGCAGCGACGCCGCGUGGGGGAUGACGGCCUUCGGGUUGUAAACUCCUUUCGACCGCGAGGAAGCCACCUGGUUGGAAGGGUGGUGACGGUAGUGGUAGAAGAAGCACCGGCUAACUACGUG
rnacentral:rRNA from 1 species